rnacentral:rRNA from 1 species
AUUGAACGCUGGCGGCGUGCCUUACACAUGCAAGUCGAACGGCAGCACGGGAGCAAUCCUGGUGGCGAGUGGCGAACGGGUGAGUAAUAUAUCGGAACGUGCCCAGUCGUGGGGAUAACGUAGCGAAAGCUACGCUAAUACCGCAUACGAUCUAUGGAUGAAAGCGGGGGAUCGCAAGACCUCGCGCGAUUGGAGCGGCCGAUAUCAGAUUAGGUAGUUGGUGAGGUAAAGGCUCACCAAGCCGACGAUCUGUAGCUGGUCUGAGAGGACGACCAGCCACACUGGGACUGAGACACGGCCCAGACUCCUACGGGAGGCAGCAGUGGGGAAUUUGGACAAUGGGCGCAAGCCUGAUCCAGCAAUGCCGCGUGCAGGAUGAAGG